rnacentral:rRNA from 1 species
UACGUAGGGGGCUAGCGUUGUCCGGAAUCAUUGGGCGUAAAGAGCGCGUAGGCGGCUAGAUAAGUCCGGUGUGAAAGUCACAGGCUCAACCUGUGAAUGCCGCUGGAAACUGUCUGGCUAGAGUCCGGAAGGGGCGAGUGGAAUUCCUGGUGUAGCGGUGGAAUGCGCAGAUAUCAGGAGGAACACCGAUGGCGAAGGCAGGUCUCUGGGCCAUUACUGACACUGAGAAGCGAAAGCAUGGGGAGCGAACAGG